rnacentral:rRNA from 1 species
ACUCCUGCGGGAGGCAGCAGUGGGGAAUAUUGGACAAUGGGCGCAAGCCUGAUCCAGCCAUGCCGCGUGAGUGAUGAAGGCCCUAGGGUUGUAAAGCUCUUUCACCGGUGAAGAUAAUGACGGUAACCGGAGAAGAAGCCCCGGCUAACUUCGUGCCAGCAGCCGCGGUAAUACGAAGGGGGCUAGCGUUGUUCGGAUUUACUGGGCGUAAAGCGCACGUAGGCGGACUAUUAAGUAAGGGGUGAAAUCCCGGGGCUCAACCCCGGAACUGCCUUUGAUACUGGUAGUCUUGAGUUCGAGAGAGGUGAGUGGAAUUCCGGGUGUAGAGGUGAAAUUCGUAGAUAUUCGGAGGAACACCAGUGGCGAAGGCGGCUCACUGGCUCGAUACUGACGCUGAGGUGCGAAAGCGUGGGGAGCAAACAGGAUUAGAAACCCGAGUAGUCCCAUGAU